CAUCAUUGGUUUCAGUCCACAAAACCAUCUUCAUUCUCUUCAUCUUCAUAUUGCUACAUUCAUCCUCUCCAAAACAAUCUCAAAUUCAAACCUAAAUUUUUAGAUCAACUUUCCUCAAUCGAGAUUUUAUAUCACCAAAACAAUUAAAAUAACCAUAAAAACCCUUCCUUCUAUGAGUUGCAUCCCUCACUUGAAUGUCCUAGAGACGAGAUUGAGCCGUGAAACCCAUCUUCCACACAAAUUCCCUUUUCUCUAGGAUCCGACAUGGGGUCUGAGAGCACGUUCGGCGAAAGCAUUUGUAGUGGAACGAAUUCGACCAUAAAAACUUUUUUUCCUUAUGGUAUUCACCCUUUUAGGUGAUCCCCUCACUUCUGGUUCGACAAUCGAACCCUUACUUCUAUCAGAGAUGAGAUUGAUCUGGGUUUGGGGCUGGGGUUGAGGUGGCUUAGAUUUGUGCCCCCCCUCUCUCUCUCUCUCUCUCUCUCUCUCUCUCUCUCUCUCUCUCUCUCUCUCUCUCGUCUCUAAAACCUCUCUCUGAUCUCUUUCUCUUGAUGGGUUUGUUGGAAGAUUGGCGGUGGGGUGGGGGAUUUGGUGGACAAUGAGAGUGGGGGUGGGGCGAGGGUUGCGAUGGGGGUUGUUCUUGGUGAGAAGGGAAGGAGAAUUAGGGAGUUUACCUGAAUUGCACAUAAGAGGUUCAAGUUUCCUAAGAAUAACGUGGAACUAUAUGCUGAGAAGGUGAAUAGCAGAGGCCUUUGUGAUGAGUCACUUUGCUACAAGCUCCUUGGUGGCUUUGCUGUACACAUGGCUUGUUAUGGUUUUUUGAUAUUUGUUAUGGAAAGUGGUGCUAAGGGAUGUGAGGUAAACGUCAGUGGAAAAUUGAGGGCCAAGAGGGCCAAAUCAAUGAAGUUCAAGGAUGGGUACAUGAUUUCUUAUGGCCAACCACUCAAUAAUUACAAUGAAUCUGUAGUGAGACAUAUUCUCCUUAGACAGGUUUGCUUCUUUUCUUCAUAUAUACCUUGUAGAAUGUCAUUAUGUGCAACCAUUUUUAAGUUGUUGAUUCAUUCUAUUUUUUUCUGAGUGCUAGUCCUAAUCAUUUUUUGCAUUACUGUUUCGUAUGGUGUUUUUGGUAUCAAUGUGAAGAUCAUGCUCGAUUAGGAUCCUAAAGGUAAACAUGGUCCCAAAACCCCCUCCUGAAUAUUGUCACAAUCCAUACUCCAAAGUAAUCUUUGUAGCUCGAUUGCGACAUGAUUUCGGCUGUUGUCUUUGGAAAAUGAUAUUGAGCUUCCUGUUGCUCGAAAAAUGUUUUGUAUCUCAGCGCCUACUUUUGCUUGCAUGAGGUGUUUUGUUGUCAAAAACUUGUUCAAGAUUUUUAUAGUUUCAUUAACAAUUUUAGACUUAAAUAUGUUUUUGUCCCUCUAAUUAUAUCUAGUAUUGGUUAUGGUCUCUUUUUUUUGAGCUUCAAAUUUUUUUUGGCAUGAAGAUGAAGAUGAAAAUUUGGAUUCUUUUGAUGAAGAAGAUCAAGAUUUGAGUUUUAUGUGAAGUAGAUGAAGAUGAAAAAAAAUUGAGAUUCUGUACCAGGAAUAAUCAAUGGCUUAUUAAGAAGGGGUAGUGAUAAGGAAGACAUUUGAACACCAUUAAAGGUGUUUGAUUGUGUUUGUGCUUGUGGAGAACACCGAUGGAUAGUUUGAGUGGCUGAAACAUUUCCAAGGAGGUUUGAGGUUGGAGUAUUUACAUCCUUAAGUUUCUCAAACUUUGAGGAUUCUAGUUUUUUGGCAGCAAACUUUUGAACGGCUGGUCCUUGAUCUUCCACAAACUUAAAUAAACUAUCUUUGUAAUUACUAGGAUCGUUGUUCAGCUGCAACGACAACGUGAAAUAUGAAUAGAAUUAUUGUUUUAUCUAAAGAUAUAAAAUUACAAGUUCAUAUUUCUAUUUCUAGAUUACCCACUUAUGUGAUUUUUUUGGUGGAAAAACUUACUUGAAUGUUUGGCUUGUCUGAGUUAAAAAACUCUGAAACCAAAGUCUUUUCUCUUGGAGGCCAAUACAUGUUCCUCUUAUUUUUUCCAAGAAUGGUAGUUACAUUGCGAACUUGUCUUCCUUCCUGCAUAAGAUUUGAAAUGGUAUGGAAAAUUGAAGAGAUCAACAAAUUACAAAACAUGCAA